GACGAACGCUGGCGGCGUGCUUAACACAUGCAAGUCGAACGGAAAGGCCCUGCUUUUGUGGGGUGCUCGAGUGGCGAACGGGUGAGUAACACGUGAGUAACCUGCCCUUGACUUUGGGAUAACUUCAGGAAACUGGGGCUAAUACCGGAUAGGAGCUCCUGCUGCAUGGUGGGGGUUGGAAAGUUUCGGCGGUUGGGGAUGGACUCGCGGCUUAUCAGCUUGUUGGUGGGGUAGUGGCUUACCAAGGCUUUGACGGGUAGCCGGCCUGAGAGGGUGACCGGCCACAUUGGGACUGAGAUACGGACCAGACGCCUACGGGAGGCAGCAGUGGGGAAUAUUGCGCAGUGGGCGGAAGCCUGAUGCAGCAGCGCCGCGUGCGGGAUGACGGCCUUCGGGUUGUAAACCGCUUUCGCCUGUGACGAAGCGUGAGUGACGGUAAUGGGUAAAGAAGCACCGGCUAACUACGUG
rnacentral:rRNA from 1 species